rnacentral:lncRNA from 1 species
UGGCCACAAAAGCCAAAUCAGUGGAAAGAAGUGAGUACGGUUUGGACCACCUGCUGUUGGGGUCUGUUUUAGAUGCUGCAACAGACUCUUCCUUGUUGAUGUAAGGAGCGAGAGGUUGGCAGUGCCAGGAGAUAUUCUYCAGCCAGGCUCCACUUCAAACCACUCCUGAGCUGCUGGUUUCAAAGUUCUUGAAAGAGAGCCAUUAUCCAGGCAACAGAUGUCCCGGACUGCUGGGCUUUCCUGGAGGAAAGCAACACGAAGGAUUGUUUUGUGGUAGCAUCUUUUCACCACGCCCUGCUGAAAAUACAGGCAAUAAACUGGAAGCAGCAAAGAAAUGUUUAUGAAAUAGCUUUCAUGGGCACUGCACAUGUGGUGAGAGGUUUGUAGAUUAGGUCAUGCCAUUUCCUGAAAAAUAUGUGCAAUGUUCUGGAUAUUUAACGGCAUAAAGAUGUAAUUAGCUUCAACUUUUUAAUGCUUUGGAAAACAGCAUCACCUUGAUUUGAAGAGAACUAUUAAAUAAGAUUGAGUUACCAUGCUGAGCACAGAUACAAUCUGAGGAGGGAACCUGACCCCGUCAGGAUUUCCUCUGCAGUGUGUUUGCAUUGUAUCAGCAUCUAAUCUGGUGUACAUAUCUACAUUUCUCUGUGUCCCAUUCAGACCAAAAAAAGCAAGCUGAGUAGCUUCACUAAAUCUUAAAAAAGGAGAAAUUUGCUACAGGAAGGAAAUUUUAUGAAAUGGYUUGGGUCUGCAUGGUCCAGGGUGCAUUUUUAAAGCAUCUGAAAUGUUAGAGUCUCUCAUGUCCUGCAAAAACCAUGAGAAGAAAGAGAAAAUGCUGCACGGCAAAGAUCUUCAGCAAGAUUUGCAAUGGGAAGAAUAAGAUUAAAAGUAAGAUAUGAGAUCCUAAAGACCUAUAUACAUUUUUCUGUCAACAGCAAAAUUCUGUGAAAACAUUCAGUCCCAUUUCUGAAAUCAGCCACUAGCAAACCGUGAGGUAUCCAAAGAUGCUGAAUCCACUCUGUCUUCUGAACUGUYCCAACCCCUAAUCUUUUGAUUAACAAGGCUUGGUUUUCAGAGGAAGGGAAUGAAAUAUUUUAACAGGACAAGUCAAGGCUGGUGAGAAUUUCAGGGGACAAGCAGAAGAGAUGCCCAUAGCCUGAGGUCAUGUCCCUAGCUGGGCACCAAAGACAUGGCUGCAAACAACAUGAAUGUGUUUAAGACAUCAAAAAUCAAAAAUGUUAAUCAAUACAGUGGUUACGUUGGAUAACUCAUUGCAUCGCUGACUUCCCAGACCUGGGCUAAUAAUGACCUUCUACCUUUCUAGUAAAUAAAAGCUAAAAYUAAACAUCCGAAAAACA